GCGGCGUGCUUCAUACAUGCAAGUCGAACGAGAAGCGGGAGCUUGCUCCUGUGGAAAGUGGCGGACGGGUGAGUAACACGUAGGAAAUCUGCCUUUGGGUGGGGGACAACAGUUGGAAACGACUGCUAAUACCCCAUAUGAGCUUGGUUGCAAUACCAAUCUUGAAAACUCCGGUGCCUAAAGAUGAGCCUGCGUCUGAUUAGCUUGUUGGCGGGGUGAUGGCCCACCAAGGCGACGAUCAGUAGCUGGUUUGAGAGGGGGAUCAGCCACAAUGGGAAUGAGCCACGGCCCAUACUCCUACGGGAGGCAGCAGUAGGGAAUUUUGCGCAAUGGGGGAAACCCUGACGCAGCCACGCCGCGUGAAUGACGAAGCCCUUCGGGGUGUAAAGUUCUGUCAGUAGGGAAGAAUUUUGACUGUACCUACAAAGGAAGCACCGGCUAACUCCGUGCCAGCAGCCGCCGUAA
rnacentral:rRNA from 1 species